GUUUCUUCUAGGAGUGGAAAGCAUAUGCUUAGUCCAAAUAUGAACUAAACCGGAAGUACGUAAUCAAUGUGAAGCCUCGGAUAGCGACGUCAUACGGAAGAGACAGAAACUACUCAAAACAGAUCCAGGUGACUCCAAUGAACAACAAUUACUGACCACCGGAGAAAAACACAAGCAACUGAAGAAGCCUACAAAAGAGGGGAAACGUGUCUUGCAAGUACUUUCAAAACUUUGG